rnacentral:rRNA from 1 species
AUAUCAAUAAGCGGAGGAAAAGAAACCAACAGGGAUUGCCUCAGUAACGGCGAGUGAAGCGGCAACAGCUCAAAUUUGAAAUCUGGCUCCUUUUGGGGUCCGAGUUGUAAUUUGUAGAGGGUGCUUCGAGCGAAGCCCCGGCCCAAGUCCCUUGGAACGGGACGUCAGAGAGGGUGAGAACCCCGUGUCCGGCCGGCGGCGCUCCUCAUGUGAAGCCCCUUCGACGAGUCGAGUUGUUUGGGAAUGCAGCUCUAAAUUGGUGGUAAAUUCCAUCUAAAGCUAAAUACGGGCCAGAGACCGAUAGCGCACAAAGUAGAGUGAUCGAAAGAUGAAAAGCACUUUGAAAAGAGAGUUAAAAAGUAC